rnacentral:rRNA from 1 species
UACGAAGGGGGCUAGCGUUGCUCGGAAUACUGGGCGUAAAGCGCACGUAGGCGGCUUUCUAAGUCGGGGGUGAAAUCCUGGAGCUCAACUCCAGAACUGCCUUUGAUACUGAGGAUCUUGAGUUCGGGAGAGGUGAGUGGAACUGCGGGUGUAGAGGUGAAAUUCGUAGAUAUUCGCAAGAACACCAGUGGCGAAGGCGGCUCACUGGCCCGAUACUGACGCUGAGGCACGAAAGCGUGGGGAGCAAACAGG